UGGGGAAUUUUGGACAAUGGGCGAAAGCCUGAUCCAGCAAUGCCGCGUGUGUGAAGAAGGCCUUCGGGUUGUAAAGCACUUUUGUCCGGAAAGAAAUCCUUGGCUCUAAUACAGUCGGGGGAUGACGGUACCGGAAGAAUAAGCACCGGCUAACUACGUGCCAGCAGCCGCGGUAAUACGUAGGGUGCAAGCGUUAAUCGGAAUUACUGGGCGUAAAGCGUGCGCAGGCGGUUUGCUAAGACCGAUGUGAAAUCCCCGGGCUCAACCUGGGAACUGCAUUGGUGACUGGCAGGCUAGAGUAUGGCAGAGGGGGGUAGAAUUCCACGUGUAGCAGUGAAAUGCGUAGAGAUGUGGAGGAAUACCGAUGGCGAAGGCAGCCCCCUGGGCCAAUACUGACGCUCAUGCACGAAAGCGUGGGGAGCAAACAGGAUUAGAUACCCUGGUAGUCCACGCCCUAAAACGAUGUCAACUAGUUGUUGGGGAUUCAUUUCCUUAGUAACGUAGCUAACGCGUGAAGUUGACCGCCUGGGGAGUACGGUCGCGAGAUUAAAACUUAAAGGAAUUGACGGGGUCAUAGCUGUUUCCU
rnacentral:rRNA from 1 species